GAUGAACGCUGGCGGCGUGCCUAAUACAUGCAAGUCGAGCGAACAGACGCGGAGCUUGCUCCUCUGACGUUAGCGGCGGACGGGUGAGUAACACGUGGAUAACCUACCUAUAAGACUGGGAUAACUUCGGGAAACCGGAGCUAAUACCGGAUAAUAUAUUGAACCGCAUGGUUCAAUAGUGAAAGACGGUUUUGCUGUCACUUAUAGAUGGAUCCGCGCCGCAUUAGCUAGUUGGUAAGGUAACGGCUUACCAAGGCAACGAUGCGUAGCCGACCUGAGAGGGUGAUCGGCCACACUGGAACUAAGACACGGUCCAGACUCCUACGGGAGGCAGCAGUAGGGAAUCUUCCGCAAUGGGCGAAAGCCUGACGGAGCAACGCCGCGUGAGUGAUGAAGGUCUUCGGAUCGUAAAACUCUGUUAUUAGGGAAGAACAAAUGUGUAAGUAACUAUGCACGUCUUGACGGUACCUAAUCAGAAAGCCACGGCUAACUACGUG
rnacentral:rRNA from 1 species